AAAUAUGGCAAACAAUGAAUG
rnacentral:miRNA from 1 species